rnacentral:tRNA from 2 species
CGGGGUGUAGCACAGCCUGGUAGUGCGCUCGGUUUGGGACCGAGAGGUCGCAGGUUCGAAUCCUGCCACCCCGA